CAGAUAGUUAUACCAAACACGAGCUCGAACCAGAGUUCGUAUAUGAUUUACAAAAUCUAACGGCUCUUACAUGAUUAUGUGAUAGGUGGUGCAUGGCCGUUCUUAGUUCGUGGAGUGAUCUGUCUGCUUAAUUGCGUUUGGAUACAACAAUUUUGGAAUCGCGGCAAUGUUCAGCUUAAUGGCGUCGAUAAAAUUAACAUUAUGUUGACAAUUAGUCCAACUCGGUCCAGCUCGAUUCUUUCCAAUGCAACGAGCGUGAUCGCGACCCCUUGUUGAGCUUAUUACACAUAAGCUCUAUGUCGACGGAACGCUUUUGCGUUACGGAGACAAACUCGGGGGACAGCUUCAAUCAAUUUUCUCAAACGAGAGGAAGGUUGCGGCAAUAACAGGUCUGUGAUGC
rnacentral:rRNA from 1 species